GGUUCCAUAGUGUAGCGGUUAGCACGUCUGCUUUACACACAGAAGGUCUUGGGUUCACGCCCCAGUGGAGCCA
rnacentral:tRNA from 1 species